rnacentral:lncRNA from 1 species
AGGAACAAACCGGUGUCAAUGGUUAACCCAGGUUCUUGGUGUCUGGAGCUUUUCUUUCCUUUAUUAUUAACUAAAGAGCAUUCUCUACCAUUGCCCAGCUGAAAGCACCUAGCUCAUAGAUUCUCUGUGGGGAGAGUGAAUAAAGAAUGGGGGAUUGAGGCACAGAGUGUUAAAAUAGUGAGACACAGGAUUCUAACUGGCAGACUGGCACUUUAUCUCAAUUCUUAACUGCUGUGUUGCCUCUCACUUUAAAGGUAAGAAAUUAAACCAAUUUUAACAUGAUUCUCCGAAAAACCAAUACUUGCACUCCUUCCUCCAUGAAAAUGUGCUUUAUCCCUACGCAUUUUUCCAGAAGUCCAGCUUUCUACUUAUACGUUUAUAUUUUCAUAAACUUUGCUACAGAGCAAAUUCGGUGUUACAAACAUUGCUUCCUUUUGUUCACAUUUUACACGUUUACUGCCUCCUUAAAUCAUUCACCUUCACUGUAUUUUAGGAAAGAAAUGCUAUUUAUAUAUUUUGUGAAUCCACAGUCUAUUAUACAUUCUGCUAACUAAGAAUAAAACUUGUCUACUUGGUUAUUUGAGUCUAGAGAAUGAUUUUCAACCUGGAGUGACUUUGCUCACCAAGGGACAUCUGGCAAUGUCUGGUCACAUUUUUGGAUGUCUCUACUGGGGUUUGGGGUCAUACUGGCAUCUAGUGGGAAGAGUUUAGGGAUGCUGUUAAACUAAAUGCCAUAACCACAGGUCAUCUUCCCACAACAAAGAAUUUUCUGGCCCUAAAUAUUGAGGUUGAGAAACCCAGAUCUAGGAUAUUCUGUGCAUUUAAAAUGAUUCCGUUCAGAACAAUUUAGGUACUUUCUCAAUAGUACUGCAAAAGCUAUAUGAAAACUAUAUGUAUAUAAAAAUUAUAUCUAUCUGUCUCUAGCUACAUUAACAUAUCAAUCUGCUAGGUUAAGUAGACUCAAUUUAACCAUCUGGUGUUUCAUGUUUGCUUUUGAUUUGUAAAAGACUCAGACCUAUAACAUAGCCUUAAUGCUAAUAUCAUUCUUGAGAUAAACGAUUAUAAUUGCAGAUUUCUUUUUUUUUGAGAAAGAGUCUCGCUCUGUCACCCAGGCUGGAGUGCAGUGGCACCAUCUCAGCUCACUGCAAACUCCACCUCCCAGGUUCAAACAAUUCUCCUGCCUCAGCUUCCCGAGUAGCUGGGAUUACAGGUGCCCGCUACCAAUACUUGCAGAUUUCUUUAGUGUUAUGUUAUUUAGCCACUCAUCCAUUUUUUUAAAGAUUUAAGUAUUAAGCAUUCACUGUACACCAAGCAAUGUUCUUAGUGAACAAGUAAUUUAGAAUUAGAUUACAAUUAAAUUGUGGAUUUUAGGACAUUUUAGUUAACGUUUACUGAAAAGUAUUAUCACAGAAUUUAUAUUUUCUAUAGUUUAUGUUGUUUUAUAUGAUUAUAAAAGCAAUGAUUUAAGAAUUAAGUGAAGUAUUUUACAUGAUGUGGAAAAAAUGAGAGAAAAAGAUGGAAAAGAGUUGAUUGAAUUAUUCAUUUUCACCUGAUUAGUUGAAGCCAGUGGUUAGUAACAUCACAUGCACAAAGGACCCAGUGGCUGAUUCAAAAUAGUAUUCCAUUCUCUCCCCAUGAUUUUACAAUGAAACUACGAGACCAAUCAGGACACCUUCUUCUUUCUUCUUGUUCACCAAA